CAGCAGAGAGGCAUGCCCGACUCAUCUUGCCCCCAUUUCACAAGUGAAACCUGGGAUUAGAAAAAUAAUAAAAGGCCAUCUCACCUGUGUUCCUUAUUUAUUACACAUUAUACAGGUAUCUGGUUGCAAAACCCGAACUCCUACUCCUGUCUCUUGGUGAGCGUUUAAGGCAGAACACACUGACCCGCCUCAGCAGAUAACAUCGGCAUUCAGAGAAAUACCAGGAGUCCAGCAAUCACUGCACACGGCAGCUACUUUUUGGCAGAUUCGGAGCCCAUCUAGAGUACGGGUGGCAAGUGAUGGCACCACCAAUGAGGCGGACACCGGCUGUCUCAUCUCUCAAGAAGACGUGUUGAAUGAUCGGAUCGUGGAUCAUCUAAAUUAUGCCCCGUGCAGUCUAACACAUAAUAGAACCUAGAAGGGAUUUGCCACACCAGGAGUUAAUUAGACUUCUGGUUCCCAAGGUGCCGUGGAACGUCUCUUGACUUUGUGCUCAUUAAGUUUUACUGUAAUGAGGGGUUGGAUGCCUUUACUUCUCAUUAGAAUAUACCGUGAGAAGUUAAGUUGCCUGAUCAUUGUUGUAUUCCCAUUGCUACAAUAUACCUGGAUCAAAUAAUAUUAAGA
rnacentral:lncRNA from 1 species